rnacentral:rRNA from 1 species
CGCCAGACUCCUACGGGAGGCAGCAGUGGGGAAUAUUGCACAAUGGGGGGAACCCUGAUGCAGCGACGCCGCGUGAGUGAAGAAGUAUUUCGGUAUGUAAAGCUCUAUCAGCAGGGACGAAGAUGACGGUACCUGCAGAAGAAGCCCCGGCUAACUACGUGCCAGCAGCCGCGGUAAUACGUAGGGGGCAAGCGUUAUCCGGAUUUACUGGGUGUAAAGGGAGCGUAGACGGCAGGGCAAGCCAGAAGUGAAAACGCAGAGCUUAACUUUGCGACUGCUUUUGGAACUGCCCAGCUAGAGUGCAGGAGAGGUAAGUGGAAUUCCUAGUGUAGCGGUGAAAUGCGUAGAUAUUAGGAGGAACACCAGUGGCGAAGGCGGCUUACUGGACGGCAACUGACGCUGAGGCUCGAAAGCGUGGGGAGCGAACAGGAUUAGAUACCCGCGUA